rnacentral:rRNA from 1 species
AGUGAACGCUGGCGGCAGGCCUAACACAUGCAAGUCGAACGGCAGCACAGUAAGAGUUUGCUCUUACGGGUGGCGAGUGGCGGACGGGUGAGGAAUACAUCGGAAUCUACUUUUUCGUGGGGGAUAACGUAGGGAAACUUACGCUAAUACCGCAUACGACCUACGGGUGAAAGCAGGGGAUCUUCGGACCUUGCGCGAUUGAAUGAGCCGAUGUCGGAUUAGCUAGUUGGCGGGGUAAAGGCCCACCAAGGCGACGAUCCGUAGCUGGUCUGAGAGGAUGAUCGGCCACACUGGAACUGAGACACGGUCCAGACUCCUACGGGAGGCAGCAGUGGGGAAUAUUGGACAAUGGGCGCAAGCCUGAUCCAGCCAUACCGCGUGGGUGAAGAAGGCCUUCGGGUUGUAAAGCCCUUUUGUUGGGAAAGAAAAGCUGUAGGUUUAUACCUCGCUGUUCUGACGGUACCCAAUGAAUAAGCACCGGCUAACUUCGUG